AUGGACCAUUCCAUCCCUUUUUCCCGUGCAUAUGCAUCGGACUCGGAUGACGAUGGUCCCGAUGAACAAGUUGAUGCGGAGGGGUUCACGGUGAAGGAGGCCGAAGCUUUCGAGAAGGUAUUUGGUCGGGAUCAUCGGACUACAUUGUUCAAGGAUGUUAGUCUCGCGGAUGAAGCCGUGGUAGAUGGUGACCAAUGUGUACCUCUUGGGGUUAGGCCAAGCUCUCACCGUGAUUUGGUAGACGACAAGAACCGGAUUGCUAAAGGUUCUAAGUUCGACAGCUUGUUGGAUUUGAAGAUGUGGCUCGACAACUACUCGGUUACGCAUUAUCGUCCACACAAGGUGGUGAACUCGGACGUCAAUGUGCGCUACACGGUUGCAUGUGCAUGUGAAGAUGAAAAGGAGGUCCAACUUGGACUUACAAGAGGCCGUGGUGGUGGUAGAGCUCGUGGAAAGGAGGUCCAACAAGGAAUGGCAAGACGCCGUGGCGGUUGUCCGUGGAUUGUGCGUGCAAGACCAUGGAAAGAAGGUCCAACUUGGCAUGUAGUGAGUUGUGUGCCAACUCACAUGUGCCAAGGCAAAAGGGUGGAUGGCAAGAUUGUGUCCGAAGGCCACAAACAACUCACGUCCGAGUUCAUCGCUUACAGGCUCUCCAACUCAAUAUCCACACUUCCAACAAUGAGCGUCCAACAUGUCAUUGACCUUGUGAAAGCCAUCUUUCAUUACAAGGUGAAAUACGGCAAGGCAUGA
rnacentral:rRNA from 1 species